rnacentral:lncRNA from 1 species
AUUACUGCAAAAUCGAAUUUUUUUCCAGAUAGCUGAAGAAGGAAUUUACAAAAUAGUCAUUCCGUUGAUAGAAGUUCUCUACUUACUAAAUGGAAAGUACACGUAAAUAAACGUUUUAGUAUCACUAUCAAAUGUUUUUAACGGCAACGCAGAUAAAAUAUUUAUAAAAUUUCAAAUGUUACAAAGAUUGAGAAGUUUGAUUUACUUCCUUCUUCGCAUUCUUGGAAGACAAACAGAAAAUUAUUAACCUAGGAGAUCAAUAGGUACAGUAAUUAUCGCUUUUCUCUUGGAUAUGUUAACAGAGUAGUGGAAGUAAAGACAGUAAAGUUAUCAGCAUUUAGCAGCAAGUCGUCGGUUUUAAGUGACUAAACUUUCGGAAUAAAUCUCUUUUUAACGAAAAUAUGGCGUCGUCCAAUACACUUGUUGUAGCUAUAGACUUUGGACCGACUUACAGCGGUUAUGCAUACUCAUUUAAAUCAGACACGACGAAUGUUAAAACGGUCAACAAAUGGUCAAGUAAACUAGACUCUCAAAAAACACCUACAAGUGUUCUUUUGACUCCAGCGAGAAAACUUCACUCAUUUGGAUACGACGCGGAGGAACACUAUGCAGAAUUGUUAGAAGAUGACGAGGCAGAAAACUGGGCACUAUUUAGAAGAAUCAAGAUGGUGUUAUACGGGG